GGUUAAAGAGCUCCUCUGGGCUCAGUCAGCCCCAACCCACUGCACUUGUAAAGUUUGUCAAUGCUGGAGAAGGGCAGGUCCUUAAAAGGGAGUAUCCUGGCGUAGACUGGGUGGCAUUCAGGGGCAAACAGAACUAGUGCACAGAGCUCCCUGGAUUCAGGGAACAGGGUCUGUCUCUUGUGGAAACUGCAUGACAGCACCAGUUCCCCCGAGUCCUCUGAGGAAGCAGAAGGACCAGCUUUUCCUUACUUUUAUUUUUGGAUCCCUGGGACUCAGCCUUGGUGGUUUGGACACACAAGGGACAAGGAGCCAGACCUUUCUCCUAAGGACUAUUUGCCUGUACCCUGCAUGAGACCAUAGGGAACCAGCCCUCUUUAUGGAUUGUGGGCGAAUUUUGCCUUUUUCUUUUGGACUACUUCAACAUGCACCCCUUCCAUCCACCAGAAGGGGGAACUCCCUAAGAGGUACAGCUGGAGGGCUGUACCCCAAGUCUGGGACCCAGACUACAGUCAUGUUGCUGUCCUGAGAAGGACAUCCAAGACAAGAAAAGUGCUGCACUCAGCCCAAGGGGGAACCAGAGAGCCAUUCCAAUCGGCCUUCCUAAUGUCCCAGCGUGGGUUCGGUAGUGAUGUGAUGAGGAGGACCUUGGAGACCAGUGUGUAUGACAACAGGAUGGUGUUAGCUAUGCAGAAAAUCACCAAGGAGUUUCUUCUGCCACUCGGGACCAUGAGUUCCAGUCACAGGACAUGCAGCACAAGUUCAGCAAAUAGUCUUCUCCAUCUUGUGAAAUGGAAAGUUCCUGUCUGCUCAGAAUCGAACAACAGUUCCUAGUCUGUUCAAAAUUUAUAAAUAAGGAAGGAGGAAGGAAGAGAGAGAAGUUGGAGGAAGAAUCAGCAUCUCACUGCAGCCUGGUUGCUUUUGUGCCACUGAACAGUGACAGCAUUUCAGUUCUCAAGUCACAAAGACUGGAAAAGAAGGGAAGGAAGAUAUAAGGAUACACCAUGCACAGAUGCUUUUAUGACCCUACUAUCAAAGCAGUUUGAAUGUAAAGCCAGAUCCUCAGCUGAUGUAAACAGCUCUAGUAAACUCAGCAGAGCUGCACUGAAUUAUUCUAGAUGAGGCUUUCCCCACCAUUUUCACAUUCAGAUCUGUAUGGCCAGCAUUCUACAAAGCAGCAGCUUGCU